rnacentral:tRNA from 1 species
GCGGCCGUGGCGGAACUGGUAGACGCGCUAGCUUGAGGUGCUAGUUCUUAACGGAGUGGAGGUUCGAGUCCUCUCGGCCGCA